CAAUAACUCCAAACAUGCAUAUACCAACUCCUCAACACACAUAUACAUAAGUAUAUGAUCACAGGGGUCCAAAACUAGCUAAUAACCCCAAACAACAAAACAAACAUAACACAUCAACAUGUAUACAUACAUAAAUCAUCAAAAACUACCAUGAAUAACCUAAGCAUGCUUCUCCUUCCUUUAACCCUUCAGAAAAGAUAUAAACAGGGUCUAAAACUGCCCUUACCUCUGGAAACAGGAAGAUACACACACUGAACAAAGGAAAAACAGAUCAACCUCUCUUCAAACUCUCAAAAUCUCAAAAGCGUAACUUUUGUUUCUCUCAACUCUCAACACCUUUGCAAGCACCUCAAACUGCUGGAAGAACAAUCAAAAACAUGUACAGAUGAGUCAUAAGAGACGUGGCCAUUCCAUGGCAAGAAUCUGAG
rnacentral:lncRNA from 1 species